GAUAAAUCUUAUAAUGACUCAGUCCUCAAAAAUAGCACUACACACAAGUAAAUGUUUAUUCCAUAAAACGUUUUCGAACCCAAGUUUGGUCCCUCGUCGGUGCAUACAACUGAGGAUUCUUAAGAGAUUAAGUUCUUCGGUUGUAUGUACUGACGAGGGGCCGGGCUUGGGUCUGGGGGCGUUUUGCGGAGUAGGCAUUUGCUUGUGUGUAGUGCUGUUUUUGAGGACUGAAUUAUGAUAUUUCAAUAUUAUAGAUCUGGAAUUUUGUCUAAGUGGCCAUAUUUAUUCCAAUAGCGAAUUAAAUUUGGAAAAUUUUUAAAUUAUA
rnacentral:lncRNA from 1 species